GCUAGUGUACCGGUUGUCACGCCAGUGGCAGCGCCGGGUAGCCAUGGCCGGUUUGGAUAAGCGCUGAAAGCAUCUAAGUGCGAAGCCAACUCCAAGAUAAGGUCUCCCACCGGGUUAACCGGGUAAGGGCCCUGGUAGACAACCAGGUUGAUAGGCCGGAGGUGUAAGAGAAGUAAUUCUUUGAGCUGACCGGUACUAAUAGCCCGAGGGCUUGUUCACCUAUAACUCACUCU
rnacentral:rRNA from 1 species